rnacentral:rRNA from 1 species
UACGUAGGGGGCGAGCGUUAUCCGGAUUUAUUGGGCGUAAAGAGCGUGUAGGCGGCCAGGUAGGUCUGCUGUGAAAACUCGAGGCUCAACCUCGAGACGUCGGCGGAAACCAUCUGGCUAGAGUCCGGAAGAGGAGAGUGGAAUUCCUGGUGUAGCGGUGAAAUGCGCAGAUAUCAGGAGGAACACCAAUUGCGAAGGCAGCUCGCUGGGACGUAACUGACGCUGAGACGCGAAAGCGUGGGGAGCAAACAGG